rnacentral:rRNA from 1 species
GGACCCGCACAAGCGGUGGAGCAUGUGGUUUAAUUCGAAGCAACGCGAAGAACCUUACCAGGUCUUGACAUCCUUUGACCACUCUAGAGAUAGAGCUUUCCCUUCGGGGACAAAGUGACAGGUGGUGCAUGGUUGUCGUCAGCUCGUGUCGUGAGAUGUUGGUUAAGUCCCGCAACGAGCGCAACCCUUAUUACUAGUUGCCAGCAUUUAGUUGGGCACUCUAGUGAGACUGCCGGUGACAAACCGGAGGAAGGUGGGGAUGACGUCAAAUCAUCAUGCCCCUUAUGACCUGGGCUACACACGUGCUACAAUGGAUGGUACAACGAGUCGCAAGGUCGCGAGGCCAAGCU